rfam:Camelus ferus unplaced genomic scaffold scaffold1078, whole genome shotgun sequence.
GUGGGUAUAGGUCAGUGGUAGAGUGCAUGCUUAGCACGCAUAAGGUCCUGGGUUCAACCCCUAGUACCGCCA